GCUCUGCCUCUGGACUUGAGGGUUUGAACAUGUCGCGCCUGAAGGGAGUGGCCGAGCGGGAUCCCCGAGUGGGUUUCAGAGCUGAGAGGAGAGACUGCGGUGCCUCGGUACCCCAGGGGCUUUUAAAGGCAGCGAGGAAGAGCGGCCAGUUAAACCUGUCGGGUCGGAAUCUUAGUGAAGUACCUCAGUGUGUCUGGAGAAUAAAUGUGGAUAUCCCUGAGGAAGCUAAUCAGAAUCUUUCAUUCAGUGCUGCUGAGCGAUGGUGGGAGCAGACGGAUUUGACCAAACUAAUCAUAUCCAACAAUAAACUUCAGUCACUUACAGAUGAUCUCCGACUGCUGCCUGCACUCACUGUUCUUGAUAUACAUGAUAAUCAGCUGACAUCCCUUCCUUCUGCUAUAAGAGAGUUAGAAAAUCUUCAGAAACUUAAUGUCAGCCAUAACAAACUGCAAAUACUCCCUGAAGAAAUUACAAAUCUGAGAAACCUGAAGGGCCUCUAUCUCCAGCAUAAUGAACUAACUUGCAUACCAGAGGGAUUUGAACAACUUUUCAACCUAGAAGACUUGGAUCUUUCCAAUAAUCGUCUUACAACUGUUCCUGCUAGUUUUUGUUCUCUGUCCAGUCUGGUGCGACUCAAUCUUUCCAGUAAUCAACUGAAGAGUUUGCCAGCAGAAAUAAGUGGAAUGAAAAGAUUAAAGCAUUUGGAUUGUAAUUCAAAUUUCUUAGAAACUGUACCUCCUGAAUUGGCUAACAUGGAGUCACUAGAAUUGCUCUAUUUGCGGAGGAAUAAAUUACGUUUUCUACCAGAAUUUCCUUCUUGUAGGUUAUUAAAGGAAUUACAUGUAGGUGAAAACCAGAUUGAAAUGUUAGGGCCAGAACAUCUUAAGCAUCUGAAUUCUAUCCUUGUGCUAGACCUGCGGGAUAAUAAGUUAAAAUCUGUUCCAGAUGAAAUUACACUACUACAGUCUUUGGAAAGGCUUGACCUAAGCAACAAUGAUAUCAGUAGUCUACCUUGUUCAUUGGGAAAACUUCAUUUGAAAUUUCUGGCACUAGAAGGAAAUCCUUUGAGAACAAUUCGAAGAGAAAUUAUAAAUAAAGGAACCCAAGAAGUCUUAAAAUAUCUGCGAAGCAAGAUUAAAGAUGAUGAACCUAGCCAAAGUGAUCCUGUUACUGAGACUGCCAUGACACUACCAAGUGAAUCCAGAGUCAAUGUACACACUAUCGUCACAUUAAAAAUACUAGACUAUAGUGAUAAACAAACAACUUUGAUUCCUGAUGAAGUAUUUGACGCAGUAAAAAGCAACAUUGUCACUUCUGUUAACUUCAGUAAGAAUCAGCUAUGUGAAAUUCCUAAAAGGAUUGUGGAACUGAAGGAAAUGGUUUCUGAUGUCAAUCUCAGUUUUAAUAGGCUUUCCUCCAUAUCCUUGGAUUUAUGCAUGCUUCAAAAAUUGACUUUUUUAGAUCUCAGGAACAAUUUUUUAAAUUCUUUGCCUGAAGAAAUGGAAUCACUGAUAAGACUACAAACAAUUAAUCUUUCCUUUAACAGGUGAGAGACAGAACCGACUAAUCCAUGACUAAGGAUUUUUCUGUGGAGAAUUUGUAGGUUUUACUAGAGAAUACAGCUGAAAGAACCAAAUAAAACAGCCCCAUGUGUUUACUUUAUUUAAAUAUUCAGGUCUAUUUUCACUUUAUUCUACUUAGAAUUAAAAAGUGAUAUUGCUUUCUUAGAAUUUUCACAGCUGAUGUCUAGUAUACAUUUUGUUCCUUUUAACAAUUUUAAGAAACUGAAACUUACAGCCCAGUAGGAAGACAGAUAUGCAAAUAAAUAAUUAUAAUUGUUAUAGGGAAAACACAGUGCAUAGGUAAAUGUAUUUCCUGAGAUUGCUUGAAGGUGGAGGAGACAGCAUUGAAAGUAAGACUUGAAAAUUAGAUGUUGGCCAGACACACAGGGAUAGGGCAUCCAAGGUGGAGUAAAUAACAUGUACUAAGGCACAAAAAUGUGAGAACACUUUGUGUUUGGGACAUGUCAAGCAGUUUGAUAUGGAUCAGACCAUAAAGUAAGGGGCUAGAGAAGUAGAAGUAACAAAUGAAGUUUGGCAUAUAAGCAGUAGGCCCUCUGAGGGAUUUAUAUACUAAAUAAUAGAUUUUAUUCUGCAAACACUAUAAAGAUACUGCUAAUAAUUAAGAGUAGCUAAUAUUGGGGCACAUAGGUAGCUCAGUCAUUUAAGCCUCCAACUUUGGAUUUAGGCUUAGGUCAUGAUCUCAUGGUUUGUGGGUUCGAGCCCCUCAUCAGGCUGUACAUUGAUAGCAGAGAGCCUGCUUGGGAUUCUCUCUCUCCCUCUCUGCUCCUUCCCCACUUGCACACUCUUCUCUCUCUCUCUGUGUCUCUCUAAAUAAAUAAAGUCAUUUAAAAAAGAAGAGAAACUAAUAUUUAAUGGGAACUUAUUAUGUGCUGAUAGAGGACUAAGUACAUACAUCGCAUUUAAUCCUCAGAAAAGGUGGUUUCUGUCAUUAUAGUUCUGUAUUACCAUGUUCACUUAAAAAUCAAGGAUUAGAAGUUAAGUAACUCACCUAAGGUUCACAUAAAUAGUAAAUAAUCUGGGGUUUGAGCCCAGGUGGUUUGCCUCCACGAGUUGGGCUCUUAACAACUAUGUCAUAGUGUUUCCUAUGAUGAAAGUGAUUCUGCUAACAAUCUAAAUAUUAAUAGCUAACGUUUACUUACUGUAUUCCAGCUGAAAUAGAAUUAUUCAGUCCUUAUAACAAGUGUGUAAGUUUAGUACUAUUAUUAUUCCUCAUUUGCAGUUGACGAGGCUAAGGCACAGUGAUGUAACUAAAAUACUGCCUCUUUAAAUUUUUGUCCUGUCUGCUUCAUUAUUGCUCAUGCUUUCUCAUGUGUAGGUCAACAAUGAUAUCAUUAUUGUCAUUAUUUAAAAAUAUAUCUACUUGGAUCUCUGCUAAUUUUUAUUUGUGAAUCAAACUAUCAGUUCUCUAUUAAGUUUUCUAUUGAGCUGUCAAUCACACUGUCAAGUAACGUCUGUGGGGAGAUGGCAAAAGCUAACCUAACUUCUGUGUGAACAGGUUCAAAAUACUACCUGAAGUUCUGUAUCACAUCCCCACACUUGAAACAAUUUUGAUUAGUAACAAUCAGGUUGGAUCUGUG